CUCAUCAGUUCAGCAUCUCAAAAUGAGGUUCCCUUCUCAGCUCCUGGGGCUGCUGAUGCUCUGGGUCCCAGGAUCCAGUGGGGAUAUCGUGCUGACACAGACCCCACUGUCUCUGUCCAUCACCCCUGGAGAGUCGGCCUCCAUCUCCUGCAGGGCCAGUCAGAGCCUUGUACACAGUAAUGGAAACACCCAUUUGAGUUGGUACCUGCAGAAACCAGGCCAGUCCCCACAGCUCCUGAUCUACAAGAUUUCCAACCAUUUCACUGGGGUCCCAGACAGGUUCAGUGGCAGCGGGUCAGGGACAGAUUUCACCCUGACAGUCAGCAGGGUGGAGGCUGAUGAUGUGGGAGUUUAUUACUGUGGGCAAUAUACACAGUAUCCUCCCACAGUGGUUCAGGCCUGAACACAAACCUCUCUGUCUGGCGGUCCCCACUGGGCACAUGUGCUGCCUGAGAGGGGAGUUGGGAUAACAGAGGCUCUUAGUUGGUGUCAGAGGCUGGUGUUGGGGAACUCAGGGCAGUAACAUGCAGCUGAGUACUCUGGACCGAGUCCUGGGAUUUGGGAUGCUACAUGCUCAGUGGGGUAUAACCAGCUCUGGAGCGGAUGUGAUCAGCCUGUGGGCUUUGCGGUGAGCUGCCAGGGAGUGCUGCCCUGAACCUCACCCUGACCCUCCAGGCCUGUGUGCAUGUGUCAGGAACUGUUACUCAGGCUGAGCGUCAGAAACCUGAGCGAUUUAUGUGAAAGCACAACUACAUACAUUUGGAGCUAAACACGUCUGCCAUAUUGUCAGUAAGAGACUAUUCAGUGUUGUUCAGAAUUUAUUAUUUUUUAUUUUCCCACUUUAUGAACCUUCACUUUCCCAGUUAGACUAAUGGCUCUGUUACAAUGUUAUCUAGAUAGUAUUCUAUACACCCUAUCCCCAUAGGAAAUAUACAUGAGAAAAAUUUGUAAAAUUUUUUGAUGGUCAAGCACCCAAAUAGACUCUUGUCAUAAAUUCAUAGCAAAUAUAAGCUCCUCCUUCUGAUGAGAAAUAGGUGGCAUAUAUAUACAUAUAUUGAAAUACUACUCAGUCCAGGAAAUGGUAUCUUGUUAUUUGUAACAACAUGGCUGGACCUAGAAAGUAUAAUGCUAAGCAAAACAAGUCAGACAGAGUAAGACAAAUACCAUAUGUCUUCAUUUAUAUGUAGAAUCUACAAACAAAACAAAUAAAAAACUCACAAACACAAACUGACCCAUGAAUAAAGAAAGCAUUGACACGAUACAUUAACAUUGUUCAAACGUGCACUCAAUUGUUAAUCUCUCUUAUGUACAGAACAGACAAUAAGGAUCAAAGAUAUUAGUGUCCCCUUUAGUUUUCUUUCCGCUCCAUUUGUCAUGUGCAUCAAACUUUCCACAGAGAAAAAGCAAACACAUAAAUAAAUAAACAAUCAAGCUAUCUCACAUUCAAACAGUGGAAGGAUAUUUUUUAACUGUCAGGAAAACUGUAGGAUUUCAGGAGAACUACUCAUGACAGAAGUUCCAUCCCUCACAGGAGACACAUUGGGGUUGGGGAUGCAAAUUUCUAUACAAAGGAAAGAGUUCAGUACAAUGGAGGCAUUAUGAAGUGGCCUGUGGUUAGAGGGAAUUCUGCUUUUCCCAAUCAGACUGGGAUGACUAGGGACCCAGCCCAAGGAUUACAAUUGAUACAGGAAAAACCUUCACAGUCGACAUAAGAUAUUGCUCCCAUUUCUCCACAGAACUCAGCUGAAUCUCAGACAGCUCUACAAAAUGUAUUUACAUGUAUAUUUAUUCCAAGGAAAAACAAAGAAAAGAAAUGAUGAUGUUGGGAAGGAAUUCAGAUUACGCAUAUGGAGAUCAGGGCUUUGAAGGAUCUAGAUCACUGAAGUUCAGAAAAGACCCA